UGGGGAAUCUUGGACAAUGGGCGCAAGCCUGAUCCAGCCAUGCCGCGUGGAUGAUGAAGGCCUUAGGGUUGUAAAAUCCUUUCGUUGGGGACGAUAAUGACGGUACCCAAAGAAGAAGCUCCGGCUAACUUCGUGCCAGCAGCCGCGGUAAUACGAAGGGGGCUAGCGUUGUUCGGAUUUACUGGGCGUAAAGCGCGUGUAGGCGGACUUGUAAGUUGGGGGUGAAAUCCCGAGGCUCAACCUCGGAACUGCCUCCAAAACUACAAAUCUGGACCUAAGUAGAGGCAAGUGGAAUUGCGAGUGUAGAGGUGAAAUUCGUAGAUAUUCGCAGGAACACCAGUGGCGAAGGCGACUUGCUGGACUUAUGGUGACGCUGAGACGCGAAAGCGUGGGGAGCAAACAGGAUUAGAUACCCCAGUAGUCCCUGAGCGGGCUGGCAAGGCGCAU
rnacentral:rRNA from 1 species